UUCUUGUUCAGUGUUUAC
rnacentral:miRNA from 1 species